rnacentral:rRNA from 1 species
CAGCCGCCGCGGUAAUACGUAGGUGGCAAGCGUUGUCCGGAAUUAUUGGGCGUAAAGGGCUCGCAGGCGGUUCUUAAGUCUGAUGUGAAAGCCCCCGGCUCAACCGGGGAGGGUCAUUGGAAACUGGGAAACUUGAGUGCAGAAGAGGAGAGUGGAAUUCCACGUGUAGCGGUGAAAUGCGUAGAGAUGUGGAGGAACACCAGUGGCGAAGGCGACUCUCUGGUCCGUAACUGACGCUGAGGAGCGAAAGCGUGGGGAGCGAACAGGAUUAGAUACCCCCGUAGUCCCUGUCUCUUAUACA